rnacentral:snRNA from 1 species
CCACUUACCUGGCAGGGGAGAUACCAUGAUCACAAAGGUGGUUUUCCCAGGGUGAGGCUCAUCCUUUGCACUGUGGGUGUGCUGACCCCUGCAAUUUCCCCAAAUGCGGGAAACUCGACUGCAUAAUUUGUCAUAGUGGGGGACAGUGUUUGCGCUCUCUCCUG